UGGGGAGUGACUGGCUGAUGGUGGGUGGAUAGAUGGAUGUAAUGGAUUGAUGAGUGGGAGGGUAAGAAGAUCGGUUAUAUUGAUGAGUGGAUGGAUGGAUGGAGUGUGUGAAGAGGAAAAUGGGUUGAGUUGAUAAAUGGGCAUGUGGAGGGUGAUGAAUAUGCUUCUUGUUCAAAUGUGUGAGCUGGAACAACCAUUUUUCCUGAAAACCGCUUUCCUUUGGAAAGUACACUAUGUUAAAGGUUUCAAAAACCUCAAAUAAUCUUAUGGCUUAUAUAAUACACACACCAGCAUCUUAAAGAUGGCCAGAUGAAAGAGGACAGUCAUCCAGUACUGAUCUGAUUCUAUUGCUUUCUCCUCUGGUUGCUCAGGAGCCUCUGGAAUCUUCCAGUGAGCUGUAGGAUUGGGUGUUUGUUUUCGAAUGUAACUCCCUAAACUCCCCAAGCAACAACAAAAAUAAAACAGAAUGCCAGAAAAAUUAAGUUGUUGGUUUCUUUUAAUUUUUUAAAUUAGGCAGUAGUAUCUAUAGAUCAUCAGAGAGCAAAAGUAAGCAAAGACACCCACGCUUUUGGUACAGUAGAUGAGAUGGCCUAGGCUUUCCUUGUCAAAGAUAUAAAAAUAAUUUAUGUCCUAAGUAAUCUUCGUGAUUUUCAAUGGAUUUAAUCAUUGAUAAUAUAUUUUAUUGCAAAAAGAACCUGUGUACUAGGCACCCAGUGAAACACCUUUCAUAACAGAUUCAAGUUAAAAACAAGUGCUACCUGUGAUGGUUAGUUUUAAUGCUCUACUUAUUUGGAGGUAGGGCAACCUAAGUGAUCCAGAAAGUGCACAUCUAGGCAUGCUGAGAAGGCAUUUCUAGAGACACUGUUUCCAACAUAAUGAAAGGUUUGAGCCAUUCAUGAAUUUGUACUUUGAACAGACUCUUAUGCAGUAGUGGACCUGUGUAUUCAGUUGGUAUAAAUAGGUCUCCAGAGGCAUAUCUUGGGACUCUAUAUCUUGUCCUAGAUUCUUUCUGUUCUGUCUUCUCUCACGUUCCCAGCUGCCCUGAAUCACCCCCACCCCCAGCCCCUUUGCUAAAUUCUCCCACCACUCUCAUGUUUUCUCCAGGUCCAUGAGGUCAAGCAACCAUGGACAGAAGCCUCUGAACAUGGAAGCCAAAAUAAUCCUUUAUAGCUCUGUGCUGUGUGGGCAGCAGCAUAUGUGUUGAGGUCAUAGGAAAACAUUGAGCAGUCAGUUUUCUCGUUUUACUGUAGUUCUGGGGAUCAAACAGGUCAUUAACAUGCACGGCAAGUGCUUUGGCUCUCUCAGCCAUCUGUCUAGCCCAGCAUUUAAAUUAAAAAAUUCAGCCUGGUCACUCAAUACCUCUGAGAUCGACUUCUGCCCCUUGGAAGUAGGUACGGUCAUGAUAGUGUUUAGUGAUGUAAUGUAUAUGGAGUUCGUAUAAGUUAUUUUGAGUAAUUAGGGGCUCAAAAUGUUAAUUCUUGGGUUACAGUGGUUAUUGUUUUAGGUAUCAUUGUUAUUGUGAGAGCAGUGUAUUGACCCAUCUCCCAGAUAAGUGUGCUUGUAAUCAUUUUAUCAUAAAACAUGUGUUGUUCAAACAUUUUGAUAAAUAACAGAGAAAUACACACAAAAGGAAGUGAGCGAUGAGAGACCAAGAGAGAGAAAGAAGCCAGCCAUGCAGUUUAGACGAGUCUUGGAGUUCAAAUAAGAAACAAGCUGAGGUCACAGUCAGUUUCAGAGCCGGAUGCCAGUGUUCAAGCUUGGUGCUCUUCUGCCAUCUCCUACUCCAUGGCUACUUGAUUUCCUUCUGCAGUGUUGAGAGUGCACAGAAAGUUUUAGUGAAAAACAUAAGUAGCAGCAAGCUGACUAACACAGAAGGGAUACAAACAAGAUAUUACAGGAGGAACUGCUAGGCUGCCUGAGAAUCCUGUGUGUUGUAUCACCUUUGGAAUCAGAUGUUACAAUCAACCUUGCUUGAAAUUUUUGGGCUGCUGAUGCAGAAAGAAUGAAUGCCUAACACAUGCAUAUACACCCAAUGCUCACCAACUGAAGACUUUAUGAGAAAUUGAGGCUGUUCCAGUCUAAGUGAAUUAAACAUAUUGAGUGCUGAAUUGCCAUACAGUUAUAAUACAUAGUACUUUUCCAUGGGUCUCAAAUAUUAUUUGUUAUAUUCUAUCCUACGAGUUGUACCAACUAUUGCCAAAAAGUAUAAAAUAAUGUUUCAUAUUCAAGCAAAGUAAAUUUUUUAGUUUUACAUUUAAAGAGUAUGUAAGACAUUAUGCAGAUGAAUGGUUUCUUACAUUAGAAAUUUUUUCUGGUAAUCACUUUAACUGACCUUUUUUUUUUUGUCUUAUAGGACAUAUUUUCCAAGUGUUAAAAUAAGUCUAAAACCUGUUAUACAGUGAGGCUCAACUUAUUGUUUUCAAUUAUACUGUGAUGGAUUAAUGAACCGCACUGUAUAACAGAUGCUUGACUUCAAUAUCUACAUAUUACACAGAUAUUAAAGCUUUUCUAUUAUUCAGUUGCUUGAAAUAUCUAAAGUUGUCUUUAGUUUAUUGAUAGAAGUUUCAGGCUUAUGAUCUCUUUCAUUAAAAACGGUGUUCUUUAUGGAAUCAUUCAUUUCCCUUGGAGAUAGGGCAGGGCUUUUCUUUGUAAUCCUGGCUGUCCUGGACCUUGAAAUAUAGACCAGGCUGGGGUCAAACUCACAGAGGUCCCCCUGCCACUGUUUCCAGAGUACUGGUGUUAAAAGUGUACUCUAGCACACCAAGCCUUGUUGAAACAAUUUUAAUAUUAAGAGGUGUUAAUAAAUCAGGAGUAAAAAGACACUCUUAUAAUAUAAAAUCUUAAAAUCAUAUAAAAUAUAGAAGAAUUUUUAUCUCUAUAUUAUUAUUUAGUGAAAUGUACUCGUGAUGGUUGAUUUUGAUUAUCAAAUUGAUUUAAUUUAGAAAUACAGAAAUAAAUCUCUGGGUAUGUCUACAGGGGGUUAUAUAAAAUUUAAUGAAGAUUGGAGAACUCUUCCUAAAUGUGAGGUAUGCAAUCCCAUGCGCUAGCCCCUCAGGCUGAGCAUAAACAUUCAUUGGUUCUCUGAGUCCUGAGUGCCCAUGCAGUGUGUUCAACCAGCUACCUGCUCUGGCUGCCAUACCUUUCUCACCAUGGUGGAACAUAGGAACUGUUAACCCCCUUAAAUUGUUGUUAGAUAGUCUUUCCACGGAACUUAAAGCUGACUAAUGCAUUAAUAAUGUUUUUGAUAUGCUUGAAUUACCCUAGAUGCACAGAACACAUGAAACUCAAGAUGGAUGAUCAAAAUGCGAAUG
rnacentral:sRNA from 1 species